rnacentral:snRNA from 1 species
GAGAUACUGCCUCGCUUCGGCAACCUUGUAUACUAAAAUCAGAAGGACAAGGAAGAGAUUGGCAUGGCCCCUGCAUAAAGAUGACAGGCAAAUCCAUGCAGCAUUUCAUAGCGUU